CACUAUCGUUAACUGAAUACAUAGGUUAACGAGGCGAACCGGGGGAACUGAAACAUCUAAGUACCCCGAGGAAAAGAAAUCAACCGAGAUUCCCCCAGUAGCGGCGAGCGAACGGGGAGCAGCCCAGAGUCUGAAUCAGCUUGUGUGUUAGUGGAACGGUCUGGAAAGUCCGACGGUACAGGGUGAUAGUCCCGUACACCAAAAUGCACAGGCUGUGAACUCGAAGAGUAGGGCGGGACACGUGGUAUCCUGUCUGAAUAUGGGGGGACCAUCCUCCAAGGCUAAAUACUCCUGACUGACCGAUAGUGAACCAGUACCGUGAGGGAAAGGCGAAAAGAACCCCGGCGAGGGGAGUGAAAAAGAACCUGAAACCGUGUACGUACAAGCAGUGGGAGCACCUUCGGGUGUGACUGCGUACCUUUUGUAUAAUGGGUCAGCGACUUAUAUUCUGUAGCAAGGUUAACCGUAUAGGGGAGCCGCAGGGAAACCGAGUCUUAACUGGGCGUUAAGUUGCAGGGUAUAGACCCGAAACCCGGUGAUCUAGCCAUGGGCAGGUUGAAGGUUGGGUAACACUAACUGGAGGACCGAACCGACUAAUGUUGAAAAAUUAGCGGAUGACUUGUGGCUGGGGGUGAAAGGCCAAUCAAACCGGGAGAUAGCUGGUUCUCCCCGAAAGCUAUUUAGGUAGCGCCUCGUGAACUCAUCUUCGGGGGUAGAGCACUGUUUCGGCUAGGGGGUCAUCCCGACUUACCAACCCGAUGCAAACUACGAAUACCGAAGAAUGUUAUCACGGGAGACACACGGCGGGUGCUAACGUCCGUCGUGAAGAGGGAAACAACCCAGACCGCCAGCUAAGGUCCCAAAGUCAUGGUUAAGUGGGAAACGAUGUGGGAAGGCACAGACAGCCAGGAUGUUGGCUUAGAAGCAGCCAUCAUUUAAAGAAAGCGUAAUAGCUCACUGGUCGAGUCGGCCUGCGCGGAAGAUGUAACGGGGCUAAACCAUGCACCGAAGCUGCGGCAGCGACACUAUGUGUUGUUGGGUAGGGGAGCGUUCUGUAAGCCUGCGAAGGUGACCUGUGAGGGUUGCUGGAGGUAUCAGAAGUGCGAAUGCUGACAUAAGUAACGAUAAAGCGGGUGAAAAGCCCGCUCGCCGGAAGACCAAGGGUUCCUGUCCAACGUUAAUCGGGGCAGGGUGAGUCGACCCCUAAGGCGAGGCCGAAAGGCGUAGUCGAUGGGAAACAGGUUAAUAUUCCUGUACUUGGUGUUACUGCGAAGGGGGGACGGAGAAGGCUAUGUUAGCCGGGCGACGGUUGUCCCGGUUUAAGCAUGUAGGCUGAUUGUCCAGGCAAAUCCGGAUAAUCAAGGCUGAGGUGUGAUGACGAGGCACUACGGUGCUGAAGUAACAAAUGCCCUGCUUCCAGGAAAAGCCUCUAAGCAUCAGGUAACAUCAAAUCGUACCCCAAACCGACACAGGUGGUCAGGUAGAGAAUACCAAGGCGCUUGAGAGAACUCGGGUGAAGGAACUAGGCAAAAUGGUGCCGUAACUUCGGGAGAAGGCACGCUGGUGUGUAGGUGAAGUCCCUGCGGAUGGAGCUGAGACCAGUCGAAGAUACCAGCUGGCUGCAACUGUUUAUUAAAAACACAGCACUGUGCAAACACGAAAGUGGACGUAUACGGUGUGACGCCUGCCCGGUGCCGGAAGGUUAAUUGAUGGGGUUAUCCGUAAGGAGAAGCUCUUGAUCGAAGCCCCGGUAAACGGCGGCCGUAACUAUAACGGUCCUAAGGUAGCGAAAUUCCUUGUCGGGUAAGUUCCGACCUGCACGAAUGGCGUAAUGAUGGCCAGGCUGUCUCCACCCGAGACUCAGUGAAAUUGAACUCGCUGUGAAGAUGCAGUGUACCCGCGGCAAGACGGAAAGACCCCGUGAACCUUUACUAUAGCUUGACACUGAACAUUGAGCCUUGAUGUGUAGGAUAGGUGGGAGGCUUUGAAGCGUGGACGCCAGUCUGCGUGGAGCCAACCUUGAAAUACCACCCUUUAAUGUUUGAUGUUCUAACGUUGGCCCCUGACCGGGGUUGCGGACAGUGUCUGGUGGGUAGUUUGACUGGGGCGGUCUCCUCCCAAAGCGUAACGGAGGAGCACGAAGGUUAGCUAAUCCUGGUCGGACAUCAGGAGGUUAGUGCAAUGGCAUAAGCUAGCUUGACUGCGAGCGUGACGGCGCGAGCAGGUGCGAAAGCAGGUCAUAGUGAUCCGGUGGUUCUGAAUGGAAGGGCCAUCGCUCAACGGAUAAAAGGUACUCCGGGGAUAACAGGCUGAUACCGCCCAAGAGUUCAUAUCGACGGCGGUGUUUGGCACCUCGAUGUCGGCUCAUCACAUCCUGGGGCUGAAGUAGGUCCCAAGGGUAUGGCUGUUCGCCAUUUAAAGUGGUACGCGAGCUGGGUUUAGAACGUCGUGAGACAGUUCGGUCCCUAUCUGCCGUGGGCGCUGGAGAAUUGAGGGGGGCUGCUCCUAGUACGAGAGGACCGGAGUGGACGCAUCACUGGUGUUCGGGUUGUCAUGCCAAUGGCACUGCCCGGUAGCUAAAUGCGGAAGAGAUAAGUGCUGAAAGCAUCUAAGCACGAAACUUGCCCCGAGAUGAGUUCUCCCUGAGACUUUAAGUCUCCUGAAGGAACGUUAAAGACGAUGACGUUGAUAGGCCGGGUGUGUAAGCGCAGCGAUGCGUUGAGCUAACCGGUACUAAUGAACCGUGAGGCUUAACCUU
rnacentral:rRNA from 1 species